rnacentral:misc_RNA from 1 species
GCCCUUUGUUUCUUAAAGCCACGGAAAGUCGAAAAGUCUCGUUGAGAACCUCUAGCUGUUGCUGCUUCUUCUUCUUCGAGGUUUUCAAGGGAAGGAGGGAAUUCAAUCGAAUUUUUUAUUUGCUGUGAUGGGCUUUCACUAUUAUUCUACAUUUCUCUUCAACUCGAGAGAUCGAGCUAGAUUUGAUAGCGGCCCUUAUGAACACCAUAUGUUUGUUGAUUUGUCUGGUUGAAUUGGUAGUUGAUUUGUUGUUGUUUCAGUGUCAAGCUUAUGCAUUCACUCAUUGUGGUUCUUCAUAGCAAUUUCAAUGCUGUUUGUGUAGAAUUGUGCCAAAGUUACCUGACUUUGGGAUUCUUUAUAACUUUCUUGUUUCUCUGUUCAUGACAAACCCAAGUGCUACAUUAAGACAAUAUAAGUAAAAUAUGAAAAAUAAUAGCUUAUGGGUGGACUUGACAAGGGAAUUAACGUGAUUAAAAAUUGGAAUAAAAAAC